rnacentral:rRNA from 1 species
GACGAACGCUGGCGGCGUGCCUAAUACAUGCAAGUCGAACGCACAGUUUAUACCGUAGCUUGCUACACCAUAGACUGUGAGUUGCGAACGGGUGAGUAACGCGUAGGUAACCUGCCUGGUAGCGGGGGAUAACUAUUGGAAACGAUAGCUAUUACAGCAUAAUAUUAAUUAUUGCAUGAUAAUUAAUUGAAAGGUGCACUUGCACCACUACCAGAUGGACCUGCGUUGUAUUAGCUAGUAGGUGAGGUAACGGCUCACCUAGGCGACGAUACAUAGCCGACCUGAGAGGGUGAUCGGCCACACUGGGACUGAGACACGGCCCAGACUCCUUCGGGGGGCAGCAGGAGGGGAACUUCGGCAAUUGACGAAAGUCUGACCGGGCAACGCCGCGGGAGUGAAGAAGGUUUUCGGAUUGGAAAGCUCUGUUGUAAGAGAAGAACGGGUGGGAUAGUUGAAAGUGCACACUGUGACGGUAUCUUACCAGAAAGGGACGGCUAACUACGUG